rnacentral:rRNA from 1 species
UACGUAGGGUGCAAGCGUUGUCCGGAAUUAUUGGGCGUAAAGAGCUCGUAGGCGGUCUGUCGCGUCGGAUGUGAAAAUCCAGGGCUCAACCCUGGACCUGCAUUCGAUACGGGCAGACUAGAGUUCGGCAGGGGAGACUGGAAUUCCUGGUGUAGCGGUGGAAUGCGCAGAUAUCAGGAGGAACACCGGUGGCGAAGGCGGGUCUCUGGGCCGAUACUGACGCUGAGGAGCGAAAGCGUGGGGAGCGAACAGG